rnacentral:rRNA from 1 species
CCUACGGGUGGCAGCAGUGAGGAAUAUUGGUCAAUGGGCGGAAGCCUGAACCAGCCAAGUAGCGUGCAGGAUGACGGCCCUACGGGUUGUAAACUGCUUUUAUACGGGAAUAACGCGCCUUACGUGUAGGUCUUUGCAUGUACCGUAUGAAUAAGGACCGGCUAAUUCCGUGCCAGCAGCCGCGGUAAUACGGAGGGUGCGAGCGUUAUCCGGAUUUAUUGGGUUUAAAGGGAGCGUAGGCCGCAUGUCAAGCGUGCUGUGAAAUGUUCGGGCUCAACCCGGGACUUGCCGCGGGAACUGGCGGGCUUGAGUGCGCGGAAGGCAGGCGGAAUGCGUGGUGUAGCGGUGAAAUGCUUAGAUAUGACGCAGAACCCCGAUUGCGAAGGCAGCUUGCUGCAGCGGAACUGACGCUGAUGCUCGAAAGCGUGGGUAUCGAACAGGAUUAGAUACCCGAGUAGUC